rnacentral:rRNA from 6 species
UUCAACAACGGAUCUCUUGGUUCUGGCAUCGAUGAAGAACGCAGCGAAAUGCGAUAAGUAGUGUGAAUUGCAGAAUUCAGUGAAUCAUCGAAUCUUUGAACGCACAUUGCGCCCUUUGGUAUUCCAAAGGGCAUGCCUGUUCGAGCGUCAUUUGUACCC